AAAAAAUGUGGCUGAAAGUGAAGGAGAAAUUUGAAGUAGGUGGUGGUAGGGGAGAGAAUGUGUUGCAGGGUUUUGUGGCCAGCACUAUGAAAAGGCUUUUUAGAACGUGGAAGACUCGGUUGCAUGCUGAAUACUUGCGUUAUAAUACUGAUGAGGAGAGACUGUCCCAUCCGCCAAAAGAUGUUGUGCCUGAGGAUUGGGAAUUUCUUAUACAAUAUUUUGGAAGCCAGUCAUUCAAGGCUAAAAGCGAGAGAAAUAAAAUAAACAGGAAAAAGCAAACAACAAAGCAUUUAUGUGGUUCAAAGUCUUUUGCAGAAGUAGAGGAAUCACUGAGAGAUCCUCUUACCGGAGAAAAGGCACCACCAGAUCGUGUCUGGGAGCUCCAACAUACGCGUAAGAAUGAUAAAGGAGAACUGUUGUGGUCAGAUCAACAAUCACAACAAAUUCACGGCCAGAUCCAGGAACUUGUGGUUCAACAGCAAUAUGAACAAAACAUGAAUCCAAUGACUGGAGAUGAGAUUUUAGCUACUGUACUUGGCGAGAGAACAUGCUAUGUCCGUGGAAAAGGUUAUGGAAAGACGCCUCUAAAAAAGAGCCGCAUGCGACAUGGGUACUUGGGAUCUAGCCUGUUUUCUGCAAUAGAAGGUGUGCGCCAAGAGAUGCAAGCUGACAUGGAUCGUAAGUUGCAAGAGGAACGUGAACAAAUGCGAGCUGAAAUGGAGAAAAUGUUUCAAGCACAGAUGGAAGAGGAGCGCAGACAAAUGCGACUAGAAAUAGACAAAAGGAUCCAAGAUCAGAUGGUGGCUAAUUUAAUGGUUGGAAUGCAACAGGGUCAAGGUUCUUCAACUGCCCGAGUUAGCAAAGGCAAAAAGCAAAAAAGCCCUGAAGUCAGUUGGGUUGUUAAGCGUAAGCGCAAGUAAUCCUUCCAGGUUUAAUGAACAAAUUUGCAAUUUAUGGGAAGAGAUUUUUACACUCUGAUAUUCAGGUUUAAUAUAUUUAUGAUUUAGUCUGUUUGCCUUCCUUACCUGUGAUAUAACCUACUUUUGUAUAAUAUGUAAAAUUUAGAAUGUCUCAGUUGAAUUUUUU
rnacentral:misc_RNA from 1 species